ACGUCAGAGCCCGAGUUCGUGUCGCCAGGGCGGAUUGGCGCCUGCGCGCGAAACAGUGACGGCCGCAGCCUUCGCUGCGAGCGUCAGGGCCUGGCGGAUCGCCU
rnacentral:sRNA from 1 species